rnacentral:rRNA from 1 species
GAGGAAUAUUGGUCAAUGGGCGAGAUCCUGAACCAGCCAAGUAGCGUGAAGGAUGACUGCCCUAUGGGUUGUAAACUUCUUUUAUAAAGGAAUAAAGUCGGGUAUGGAUACCCGUUUGCAUGUACUUUAUGAAUAAGGAUCGGCUAACUCCGUGCCAGCAGCCGCGGUAAUACGGAGGAUCCGAGCGUUAUCCGGAUUUAUUGGGUUUAAAGGGAGCGUAGAUGGAUGUUUAAGUCAGUUGUGAAAGUUUGCGGCUCAACCGUAAAAUUGCAGUUGAUACUGGAUAUCUUGAGUGCAGUUGAGGCANGCGGAAUUCGUGGUGUAACGGUGAAAUGCUUAGAUAUCACGAAGAACCCGAUUGCGAAGGCAACCUGCUAAGCUGCAACUGACAUUGAGGCUCGAAAGUGUGGGUAUCAAACAGGAUUAGAUACCCUGGUAGUCCACACGGUAAACGAUGAAUACUCGCUGUUUGCGAUAUACUGCAAGCGGCCAAGCGAAAGCGUUAAGUAUUCCACCUGGGGA